GAUGAACGCUAGCGGGAGGCCUAAUACAUGCAAGUCGAGCGGUAGAGUGACUUCGGUUGCUUGAGAGCGGCGCACGGGUGAGUAACGCGUACAUGACCUACCUUUAAGACUGGGAUAGCCCUGGGAAACUGGGAUUAAUACCGGAUGUGAUAAUAGAUAUAAGGAUUUAUUAUUAAAGUUACGGCGCUUAGAGAUGGAUGUGCGUCUGAUUAGCUAGUUGGUAGGGUAACGGCCUACCAAGGCAACGAUCAGUAGGGGCGUGAGAGCGUGACCCCCCACACGGUACGUGAGACACGGACCCGACUCCUACGGGAGGCAGCAGUAAGGAAUAUUGGUCGAAUGGACGAAAGUACUGAA
rnacentral:rRNA from 1 species